UGGAUACCAUGGAAUCUGCUCAGUCUUGUAUUCCUCCUAAAAAACAAACAUCAUCAUCAUUCCCCACCUGGAUUCAAUGGCACAUUCCACAGACAGGGGGCAGUAGAUCCUAUCAUAAGUGGUUUCCUGUGCACAGAGGGCUUCAGCUGACACCUGUAACAGGUUACCCACUCUGCGAGCUUCAGCCUCACUAAAGAUCCUUGCCACCUCGAAUGACUCAC